rnacentral:rRNA from 1 species
AUUGAACGCUGGCGGCAGGCCUAACACAUGCAAGUCGAACGAGUGGCGGACGGGUGAGUAAUGUCUGGGAAACUGCCUGAUGGAGGGGGAUAACUACUGGAAACGGUAGCUAAUACCGCAUACCCUCGGAUGUGCCCAGAUGGGAUUAGUUAGUAGGUGGGGUAACGGGUCACCUAGGCGACGAUCCCUAGCUGGUCUGAGAGGCUGACCAGCCUCCCUGGAACUGAGAACCGGUCCAGACUCCUACGGGAGGCAGCAGUGGGUAAUAUUGCACAAUGGGCGCAAGCCUGAUGCAGCCAUGCCUCGUGUAUGAAGAAGGCCUUCGGGUUGUAAAGUACUUUCAGCGGGGAGGCGUUACCCGCAGAAGAAGCACCGGCUAACUCCGUGCCAGCAGCCGCGGUAAUAC